rnacentral:lncRNA from 12 species
CACAUUUAAAACUGGACUUUUUGUGUUUUUGUGUUUUUGUUUUCUGUUCUGUCUCUUCUGUCUCCCUUUCUUUUUCUUUUUCUUUUCUUUUUUUUUUUCUGUCUCCCUUUCUUCAUCUGAUUGAUAUUUCAUCCUUCAAAACACUCUGCACUCGUCGCUGCUGUAAGGAGAGCCCUCCUGACGCCCCCAGAGUCUGCACUGGGCCCCCCAGGUGCUCCCGCGGCAGCCCGCCUGCCUCCACUGUGGGCUCCCACGGGGUCUGUGCUGUCUCGCAGGAGGAGCUACGUCUUUUGUCUUGCCGUUCCGAUGUCUCGUGCCCAGUAAGAUGUGAGAUGCCCAAGCUGCAGGCAGACCUGAACACAUGCUUCACGAAGCUUCACUUUGUUCGCUCAUAGAAGACAGUUUCGAUUGAAAAUCUUGGAAAGAAACAGCUUGACCAGGAGAAGAUUUGCAAAUAGUCUUUUAUUUCACUUCCGCCAUAUGGUCUGUGCCCAUAUGCUAAUCUUCAGGUCCUGCUCUCAGUGACCCUACCCCCUCGUCCUGGGACUCUCUUGUUGACACAAACCAGUCACACACCUAAGACGCUCGCAGUUUAUUCACUUCCACGCAACUUUACUGAAUACGUACUCCUCACAUUCACUGUUGUUGAGAUUAGGUCACGCGGUCAGGGUAUCUGUAUCCAAUGUUUUUUUCUUAUUCUUUCAUUUCUUCAACAAAUACAAAGCUUUC